rnacentral:rRNA from 1 species
GAUGAACGCUGGCGGCGUGCUUAACACAUGCAAGUCGAACGGGAAACCUUUUAAUGCUGCUUCGGCAGUUUUUGCUGGUUUCUAGUGGCGGCCGGGUGUGUAACUCGUGGGUAAACUGCCUUAUACAGGGGGAUAACAGUCAGAAAUGACUGCUAAUACCGCAUAAGCGCACAGCACCGCUUGGUCCGGUGUGUAAAACUCGGGGGGUAUAAGAUGGACCCGCGUUGGAUUAGCUUGUUGGUGGGGUAACGGCCCACCAAGGCGACGAUCCAUAGCCGGCCGGAGAGGAUGAUCGGCCACAGUGGGACUGAGACACGGCCCAGACUCCUACGGGAGGCAGCAGUGGGGAAUAUUGGACAAUGGGCGAAAGCCUGAUCCAGCAAGGCCGCGUGAGGGAUGAAGUCCUUAGGGUUGUAAAGCUCUUUUACCAGGGAUGAUAAUGACAGUACCGGGAUAAUAAGCCCCGGCUAACUCCGUG